ACUAACGUUUCGUCUUUAACCUAAGACAUCUUCAGAGUAAAUGAACAUAGUAAUUUAUUCAUAUUUGUAACUCAUUGUCAUACUAUAUUCAUUUACUCUGAAGAUGUCUUAGGUUAAAGACGAAACGUUAGU